UUUCUGGAACCAACCAUUUCU
rnacentral:miRNA from 1 species